CCUGACUCAAUCUUCCUGCUCUCAUUUUUUCACUGACCUGGUGAGGCAGCAUCGGGGGGGAGGUGAGCCCCAAGGGAUUCUUACUUCUGGUGCCAAGUGCGGGCAGGUGCAACCCACUCUGGGGACAGUGCCAGGUAGGGAGUUUGACUGGGGUGGUAUACCUGUCAAAUGGUAACACGGGUGUCCUAAAGGAGCUCAGGGAGGACAGAAACCUCCCAUGGAUCAGAAGAGCAAAAGCUGGCUAGAUCUUGAUUUUUCAGUAUGAAUACAGAAAAUGAAAGCAGGGCCUCACGAUCCUUCUGACCUUUUGGGUGUUAAGCAGGAGGUUUCAGAAAAG
rnacentral:ncRNA from 1 species